rnacentral:RNase_P_RNA from 2 species
UGAGUCGACCGGGUGACCGCGGCCGGACCCCUCCGGGGCGUCCGUGCUGAGGAAGGUCGGGGCUCCAUAGGACAGGAUGCUGGCUCGCAGCCAGUCGGGGUGACCCGCAGGAAAGUGCCACAGAAAACAGACCGCCGAUGGCUCGGGACUCUUCGGAGCGACGAGUACAGGUGAGGGUGAAACGGUGCGGUAAGAGCGCACCAGCGGCCGGGGCGACCCGGUCGGCUCGGCAAACCCCAUCCGGAGCAAGGCCAAACAGGGAGAGGGCGGUCCGUCCGUGGAUCCUCCCGGGUUAGCCGCACAGAUGGAUGGUCACCCACCCGGACCCCCGCAAGGGGCCGGUGGACAGAACCCCGCCUACAGGUCGACUCACCGU